rnacentral:rRNA from 1 species
AUAGCAAUAUUUGAGUGGCGCACGGGUGAGUAACACGUAGCUUACCUCCCCCCGAGAGUGGGAUAACGGUUCGAAAGAGCUGCUAAUACCGCAUAAGCUCACGGUCUACAGAGGACUGAGAGAAAAGGGGUAACUCGCUUGGGGACGGGGCUGCGGCCCAUCAGCUAGAUGGUGAGGUAACGGCUUACCAUGGCGACGACGGGUAGGGGACCUGAGAGGGUGACCCCCCACACUGGGACUGAGACACGGCCCAGACUCCUACGGGAGGCAGCAGUGAGGAAUAUUGCACAAUGGGCGCAAGCCUGAUGCAGCGACGCCGCGUGAGUGAAGAAGGCCUUCGGG